rnacentral:rRNA from 1 species
UGCCUACGGGGGGCAGCAGUGGGGAAUUUUGCGCAAUGGGCGAAAGCCUGACGCAGCAACGCCGCGUGAGGGAUGAAGGCCUUCGGGUCGUAAACCUCUGUCAGAGGGGAAGAACCGCCGUCGGGGUAAUAUCCCGGCGGUCUGACGGUACCCUCAAAGGAAGCACCGGCUAACUCCGUGCCAGCAGCCGCGGUAAUACGGAGGGUGCAAGCGUUGUUCGGCAUUAUUGGGCGUAAAGCGCGUGCAGGCGGCCGUUUAAGACUGAUGUGAAAGCCCCGGGCUAAACCUGGGAAGUGCAUCGGAUACUGGAUGGCUUGAGUACGGGAGAGGGAAGCGGAAUUCCGAGUGUAGGGGUGAAAUCCGUAGAUAUUCGGAGGAACACCAGUGGCGAAGGCGGCUUCCUGGACCGAUACUGACGCUGAGACGCGAAAGCGUGGGGAGCAAACAGGAUUAGAUACCCGAGUAGUC